UCCUCGACUCCCAUUUCUUGGCCCUAACCGCUCUCGUCACUGUUGGAUAUCAGUUGGUAUUCUUCAUCGUCACCGCGUUGCUUAAGUUUGACAAGGUCACUGACUUUGCCGGUAGCACAAAUUUCGUUAUACUUGGUAUGCUAACUCUUGCUUUAAAAGGAACAUGGCAUUUACGACAGGUACGGCUACUCUUUGUCG